ensembl:piRNA 21ur-14128 ncRNA
UUGUUUCUCCGUACUUUUGGA